UCAAAAAAUGUCAUAGUAUAUUAAGACAUCAAAAACCAUCAAAAAAUGUCAUAGUAUAGUAAGGCAUCAAAAAUGGUCAAAAAAUGUCAUAGUAUAGUAAGACAUCAAAAACCAUCAAAAAAUGUCAUAGUAUAGUAAGGCAUCAAAAAUUGACAAAAAAUGUCAUAGUAUAGUAAAACAUCAAAAAAUGUCAUAGUAUAGUAAGGCGUCAAAAAUUGACAAAAAAUUUCAUAGUAUAGUAAGGUGUCAAAAACCAUCAAAAAAUUCUAUAGUAUCGCAAGGUGUCAAAAAUUGACAAAAAUGUCAUAGUAUAGUAAGACAUCAAAAACCAUCAAAAAAUGUCAUAGUAUAGUAAGGCAUCAAAAACCAUCAAAAAAUGUCAUAGUAUAGUAAGACAUCAAAAACCAUCAAAAAAUGUCAUAGUAUAGUAAGGCGUCAAAAACCAUCAAAAAAUGUCAUAGUAUAGUAAGACAUCAAAAACCAUCAAAAAAUGUCAUAGUAUAGUAAGACAUCAAAAACCAUCAAAAAAUGUCAUAGUAUAGUAAGUUGUCAAAAAUUGACCAAAAAUGUCAUAGUAUAGUAAGGCAUCAAAAAUGGUCAAAAAAUGUCAUAGUAUAGUAAGACAUCAAAAACCAUCAAAAAAUGUCAUAGUAUAGUAAGACAUCAAAAACCAUCAAAAAAUGUCAUAGUAUAGUAAGGCAUCAAAAACCAUCAAAAAAUGUCAUAGUAUAGUAAGACAUCAAAAACCAUCAAAAAAUGUCAUAGUAUAGUAAGGCAUCAAAAACCAUCAAAAAAUGUCAUACUAUCGUAAGUUGUCAAAAAUUGACAAAAAUGUCAUAGUAUAGUAAGGCAUCAAAAAUUGACCAAAAAUGUCAUAGUAUAGUAAGAAAUCAAAAACCAUCAAAAAAUGUCAUAGUAUAGUAAGGUGUCAAAAACCAUCAAAAAAUGUCAUAGUAUAUUAAGACAUCAAAAACCAUCAAAAAAUGUCAUAGUAUAGUAAGGCAUCAAAAAUUGACCAAAAAUGUCAUAGUAUAGUAAGACAUCAAAAACCAUCAAAAAAUGUCAUAGUAUAGUAAGGCAUCAAAAAUUGACAAAAAAUGUCAUAGUAUAGUAAGGCAUCAAAAAAUGUCAUAGUAUAGUAAGACAUCAAAAAUGGUCAAAAAAAGACAUCAAAAACCAUCAAAAAAUGUCAUAGUAUAGUAAGGCAUCAAAAACCAUCUAAAAAUGUCAUAGUAUAGUAAGACAUCAAAAAUUGACAAAAAAUGUCAUAGCAUAGUAAGACAUCAAAAACCAUCAAAAAAUUUCAUACUAUCAUAAGUUGUCAAAAAUUGACCAAAAAUGUCAUAGUAUAGUAAGGCAUCAAAAAUGGUCAAAAAAUGUCAUAGUAUAGUAAGGCGUCACAAAUUGACAAAAAAUGUCAUAGUAUAGUAAAACAUCAAAAAAUGUCAUAGUAUAGUAAGGCGUCAAAAAUUGACAAAAAAUUUCAUAGUAUAGUAAGGUGUCAAAAACCAUCAAAAAAUUCUAUAGUAUCGCAAGGUGUCAAAAAUUGACAAAAUGUCAUAGUAUAGUAAGACAUCAAAAACCAUCAAAAAAUGUCAUAGUAUAGUAAGGCAUCAAAAAUGGUCAAAAAAUGUCAUAGUAUAGUAAGGCAUCGAAAACCAUCAAAAAAUGUCAUAGUAUAGUAAGGUGUCAAAAACCAUCAAAAAAUGUCAUAGUAUAGUAAGACAUCAAAAACCAUCAAAAAAUGUCAUAGUAUAGUAAGGCAUCAAAAAUGGUCAAAAAAUGUCAUAGUAUAGUAAGACAUCAAAAACCAUCAAAAAAUGUCAUAGUAUAGUAAGGCAUCAAAAACCAUCAAAAAAUGUCAUAGUAUAGUAAGGCAUCAAAAAUGGUCAAAAAAAUGUCAUAGUAUAGUAAGGCGUCAAAAAUUGACAAAAAAUUUCAUAGUACAGUAAAACAUCAAAAAAUGUCAUAGUAUAGUAAGGUGUCAAGAAUUUUAGAAAAUGUUAUUGUCUCUCAAAUGUAACAGCUAAUUUGUAAUAUUACAAACAAGAAAAAUAUGGAAAAUUAGCUGUAGUAACAGAGGCAUUUGAGGUAUAAUUAAACUUUAUUUUUCUUUAAUUAUACUUGUAAUAAACUUUCAGGACUUGAAGCUUCGGACAGUUUCUGUGACAUUCAUGUUCUGUCUCUGCAGGACGAGGAGGAGGAGACUGCAUCACCUGAAGAGGACAACAGAAGUAAUUAAAUGCUGUUAAAGAUGUUUAGAGAUGUAUAUGACUUUAAUAAACAUAUCCUCAUGUGUGCUCAUCACUACAUUAAAUGUGGGAGAAUAAAAGUGUCUCCAAGUGG